rnacentral:rRNA from 1 species
UACGAAGGGGGCUAGCGUUGCUCGGAAUCACUGGGCGUAAAGCGCACGUAGGCGGCUUUCUAAGUCAGGGGUGAAAUCCUGGAGCUCAACUCCAGAACUGCCUUUGAUACUGGAGAGCUCGAGUCCGGAAGAGGUGAGUGGAACUCCGAGUGUAGAGGUGAAAUUCGUAGAUAUUCGGAGGAACACCAAUGGCGAAGGCAGCACUCUGGGACGUGACUGACGCUGAGACGCGAAAGCGUGGGGAGCA